GUCCAGCCAUCAACACAUUUGUGAAGGAAUUUUUACUCCCCAAAAGAGCGCCCCCCCAUGGCAGGAGAAAAAAGUCCAUUUUUUCUUGUCCCCUAAGGUGAAAAUACACAUUGUUGAGUGUCACGCCUCUACACUUUGUCAAAAUGACACAAAAUUUGGCACACAGGUGUGUCUCAAUAAGAUCUACAAAAAAGUCAAUGCGGGCGUAUCUGUCAAAUGUACGGUUAAAGGGCUAUUUCGCAUUUUUUGGCGAUCCGUACGCAUUGGAAUUUCGCUAACUCCUCCGAAGGCUUUUAUUCCACCGGCACCACAUUUGCUCAGGCCAAUCUACACCCCAUGGCCAUUAAAAGUUAUUCAAAUCAUGACGCUGCACCCCACGGUUUAGGUUCUAGGGGGCGCCAAAGAUAACCCGAAAAUCCACAUAUUUAAAAGUCUUAUAACUUUUUAUUUUUGUCCUCACUGGCCUCCAAGUUUUCUAGGAUGAUGCAAUGUCCAGCCAUCAACACAUUUGUGAAGGAAUUUUUACUCCCCAAAAGAGCGCCCCCCAUGGCAGGAGAAAAAAGUCCAUUUUUUCUUGUCCCCUAAGGUGAAAAUACACAUUGUUCAGUGUCACGCCUCUACACUUUGUCAAAAUGACACAAAAUUUGGCACACAGGUGUAUCUCAAUAAUAUCUACGAAAAAGUCAAUGCGGGCGUAUCUGUCAAAUGUACGGUUAAAGGGCUAUUUCGCAUUUUUUGGCGAUCCGUACACAUUGGAAUUUCGCUAACUCCUCCGAAGGCUUUUGUUCCACCGGCACCACAUUUGCUCAGGCCAAUCUACACCCCAUGGCCAUUAAAAGUUAUUCAAAUCAUGAUGCUGCACCCCACGGUUUAGGUUCUAGGGGGCGCCAAAGAUAACCCUAAAAUCCACAUAUUUAAAAGUCUUAUAACUUUUUAUUUUUGUCCUCACUGGCCUCCAAGUUUUCUAGGAUGAUGCAAUGUCCAGCCAUCAACACAUUUGUGAAGGAAUUUUUACUCCCUAAAAGAGUGCCCCCCCAUGGCAGGAGAAAAAGUCAAGUUUUUCCUGCCCAUCGCUCAACGGCUCAAACACAUCGCUCUCUCGGCAAAACCGAAAGGAGGAGAAACUUGCCAUUUGGAUAUAUCCUAGCUGUGUUUGUGCCCUCACUCAUGGUCCAGACUUUUUUCAAAUAGGACAUGUAGUUUGUCUGCAGCGAGCGUUUUGGUAGAAACUGCGCCUCCCAUUCAUUAUAAUGGUAAAUGACCACAGACAAGUGUGCACACCAUCUUUGGACCUUGAGUGUGACGCGAUCGGGAGGGAGAGGC